AGCCUUUCCUGCCUGGCAGACUGCCGGGAGGGCGUCAGCUAUACGCCAGCUCUCCGUCCUCAUAGAUGCCGGUGUGUUUCUCUCAAGGAUGGAGAAUCAUGGGUGAGGGUCUACAACUAACUAGUAGAGGGAACAGACCAGGACACGAUGCCGACAGUAAUUUCCAAACUGCGACCUGAGAGAAAUAAGUAUUUAAAAAUAAUCCAAAGCCAAUAAUUUGGAAGCAUUAUUUA